CACUACAGUUGGUGACGUGAGAAUGAA
rnacentral:sRNA from 1 species